UUUUUUGUGUUCAUCAAACUUAAGCCUAAAUAGGUAACCGACUCGAGUGGAAUCUAUUAAUACGAGGAGAGGAAAGUAAUGUCUGGCCUCCUUCGAUAAUUAUUACCUCAUCACAUUUCCGUCAUUGGUCGUUAUAGCGUGUCUGUUUCCGUUAUUUCAUAUACCUAGUAAAACAUAAUUCAUUUGGUCAUGUAUAAUAUAUAUACAAUGUGUUUAUAAUUAGUUU